CUUUAUAUUAUUAUAAAAGCCACUAUGCUAGGACCAGUAACAAGAACUUACUUUUCUCCUUAAUAUAAAUAUAAGCCAAAACGGAUAACCCAUUGGUAAUUAACGUUUAUGAACCCCUUAUAACAACUCUAACUAGAAAACCUUAUAUCUACAAACGUUAACCUUACACUAGAAUAUUAAAGGAAAGAUUAAAAGAAAGAGAAGGAACUCGGCAAAUUUUAACCCCGCCUGUUUACCAAAAACAUCGCCUCUUGAUAAACAUAAGAGGUCCAGCCUGCCCAGUGACAAUGUUCAACGGCCGCGGUACCCUAACCGUGCAAAGGUAGCAUAAUCACUUGUUCUUUAAAUGAGGACUUGUAUCAACGGCACCACGAGGGUUGCACUGUCUCCUCUUUCCAAUCAGUGAAACUGAUCUCCCCGUGAAGAAGCUGGGAUUUUAGUAUAAGACGAGAAGACCCCAUGGAGCUUUAAAUUAUGUGCCUAUUUUGUAACAACACCAAGAAACUAAAAAGUUUAGGCACCCUUUUAGGUUGGGGCGACCACGGAGUACAACUAAACCUCCACAACAAACAGGCCACACCUUUACCCACGAGCUACACCUCUAAGAAUUAACAUAUUAAUGUUUAUGACCCGAUAUUCGAUCAAUGAACCAAGUUACCCUGGGGAUAACAGCGCAAUCCAUUUCAAGAGUUCUUAUCGACAAAUGGGUUUACGACCUCGAUGUUGGAUCAGGGUACCCCAGUGGUGCAGCCGCUAC
rnacentral:rRNA from 1 species